ACAGUGUAAACGCUGCCUUUGAGUUUUUGGUCACACUAUAAAUUUUCAACUGCACACUACAAUUGUACAAAUGACAAAGAAAUCAACAGUGGACAAAUAUAUACCUUUGAGCAACAGCACUUGAGCUCGAUUGUUAUAAACAGAAGCAGAGUGGGGACAACACUCCACAGCUUCAUUUAAACAACUCAAUGCAAUAUCAACAUUCCCCUCUUCAGCACUUUUUACGGCUAACAUUUCCAACUCUUUUGCUUUUUUCUCUGCCUCAGUUACUUCAUGGCCAUUCAUAACAUGUUCUUCUGUUGCCUCAGUUUCUUCUGGUUGUGUUUCAUAACCAAAUGUAUGGUUAGGAUUAAAAAUACUGUCGAGAAUACUUUGGUCACUCUCUGAUAAAGUCGCCAUUUUGACAGCAAAAAAUUAUCUGUGGCCGAGAAAAAAUAGCCAUGGAGCACUGGGUACGGGUCACUGAUCUGAAAUAGGACAAAGACGUGACAGACAAACAGAAAUACUGUAUUCUGUAG